rnacentral:tRNA from 1 species
UGUUCCAUGGUGUAAUGGUUAGCACUAGAGUUUUUGGUACUCUCAGUCUCUGUUCGAAUCAGGGUGGAACAACCA